UUACUAGGUUUCCUGCUCGGCAUAAUUGAAUCCCGUGUAGGAUCUCUAUGUAACU
rnacentral:pre_miRNA from 1 species